rnacentral:misc_RNA from 1 species
UUUCCGUAGGUGAACCUGCGGAAGGAUCAUUACUGAGUGAGGGCCCCUCGGGGUCUAACCUCCCACCCGUGUUUAACGAACCUUGUUGCUUCGGCGGGCCCGCCUCACGGCCGCCGGGGGGCAUCUGCCCCCGGGCCCGCGCCCGCCGAAGCCACCUGUGAACGCUGUCUGAAGUAUGCAGUCUGAGACAAUUAUUAAAUUAAUUAAAACUUUCAACAACGGAUCUCUUGGUUCCG